rnacentral:rRNA from 1 species
ACGGAAGGCAGCAGUGGGGAAUAUUGGGCAAUGGGCGAAAGCCUGACCCAGCAACGCCGCGUGAAGGAAGAAGGUCUUCGGAUUGUAAACUUCUUUUAUGGGGGACGAACAAAUGACGGUACCUCAUGAAUAAGCCACGGCUAACUACGUGCCAGCAGCCGCGGUAAUACGUAGGUGGCAAGCGUUAUCCGGAUUUACUGGGUGUAAAGGGCGCGUAGGCGGGAAGGCAAGUCAGAUGUGAAAGCACGAGGCUCAACUUCGUGUCUGCAUUUGAAACUGCUGUUCUUGAGUGCUGGAGAGGCUAACGGAACUCCUAGUGUAGCGGUGAAAUGCGUAGAUAUUAGGAAGAACACCAGUGGCGAAGGCGGUUAGCUGGACAGUAGCUGACGCUGAGGCGCGAAAGCGUGGGUAGCAAACAGGAUUAGAUACCCUGGUA